rnacentral:lncRNA from 1 species
UUGUCUUCGGUUUAGUCAGCAUGUUUGCCAGUUGUCCCAUGAGUUCUUUGGUACUCGAACUCGUGUGGAGCGAGUAAUGUGGAUUAGGUGAACUACAGUCCCCUGAAUCUUGCGAGUUGCGGCUCGGACUGACCUCGUGUCAUUGAGACCUGCGAGUAUGUGUCACCCAUGGUGAUGCAAGGAAUUGACGGAAAUAAGGGUACACCUAGGUGAUAGUUUUAAACUGUUUUCAAAAGUAAUGUUGACCAUGACUAUGAUUGGUUUAUAUACAUGUAUAAUUAUAUACGUGCAUUGAUUUCAGAAAUAAAGAGAAUAAGUUAGUUUGUAUAACUGUUUUUAUAGUAGGGUUAGUAUGUUCAUAUGCUAUUUUUCUAAACUGUGUUUUUAGGUCCACUCACCCUUUUUGUUGUUUUGCGCCCCCAGCCAGUAGACGUGCACAGGAAUCCAC